rnacentral:rRNA from 1 species
AAUCAACGCUGGCGGCGUGCCUCAGACAUGCAAGUCGAACGAUUAAGACUUCCUUCGGGAAGUGCAUAAAGUGGCGCACGGGUGAGUAACACGUAAGUAAUCUACCCUCGAGUGGGGAAUAACGUUCGGAAACGGACGCUAAUACCGCAUAACGCAGCGGCACCGCAAGGUGACAGUUGUUAAAGGAGCAAUCCGCUUGAGGAGGAGCUUGCGGCAGAUUAGCUAGUUGGUAAGGUAAUGGCUUACCAAGGCUACGAUCUGUAUCCGGUCUAAGAGGACGGUCGGACACACUGACACUGAAUAACGGGUCAGACUCCUACGGGAGGCAGCAGUCGGGAAUUUUGGGCAAUGGGCGAAAGCCUGACCCAGCAACGCCGCGUGAAGGAUGAAGUAUUUCGGUAUGUAAACUUCGAAAGAAUAGGAAGAAUAAAUGACGGUACCAUUUAUAAGGUCCGGCUAACUACGUG